ACGGGGAAGGAUGAGAAGCUUCGACCAAGGUUCGAUUCGAGCGAAAGCGAGAAAGCGUUGCCGCAGGCAACGACCCGAAGGGCGAAGCGCGCAGCGCUGAGUCAUCCUUCCCCCACCACCA
rnacentral:sRNA from 1 species